GAAAUGCGAUAAGUAAUGUGAAUUGCAGAAUUCCGUGAAUCAUCGAGUCUUUGAACGCACAUUGCGCCCCCUGGUAUUCCGGGGGGCAUGCCUGUCCGAGCGUCAUUGCUGCCCUCAAGCACGGCUUGUGUGUUGGGCUUCCGUCCCUGGCAACGGGGACGGGCCCAAAAGGCAGUGGCGGCACCAUGUCUGGUCCUCGAGCGUAUGGGGCUUUGUCACCCGCUCCCGUAGGUCCAGCUGGCAGCUAGCCUCGCAACCAAUCUUUUUAACCAGGUUGACCUCGGAUCAGGUAGGGAUACCCGCUGAACUUAAGC
rnacentral:misc_RNA from 1 species